AAUGAGGGACUAAGAGCUGCGGUAUUCGGUGUUUAUCCGUGCCUUCCACAGUGUCAUUGCCCUCAGAGA
rnacentral:snoRNA from 14 species